rnacentral:rRNA from 1 species
AUUGAACGCUGGCGGCAUGCCUUACACAUGCAAGUCGAACGGUAACAGGUCUUCGGAUGCUGACGAGUGGCGAACGGGUGAGUAAUACAUCGGAACGUGCCCGAGAGUGGGGGAUAACGAGGCGAAAGCUUUGCUAAUACCGCAUACGAUCUCAGGAUGAAAGCAGGGGACCGCAAGGCCUUGCGCUCACGGAGCGGCCGAUGGCAGAUUAGGUAGUUGGUGGGAUAAAAGCUUACCAAGCCGACGAUCUGUAGCUGGUCUGAGAGGACGACCAGCCACACUGGGACUGAGACACGGCCCAGACUCCUACGGGAGGCAGCAGUGGGGAAUUUUGGACAAUGGGCGCAAGCCUGAUCCAGCAAUGCCGCGUGCAGGAUGAAGGCCUUCGGGUUGUAAACUGCUUUUGUACGGAACGAAACGGCCCUUUCUAAUACAGGGGGCUAAUGACGGUACCGUAAGAAUAAGCACCGGCUAACUACGUGCCAGCAGCCGCAGUAAAAC